AACGAACGCUGGCGGCGUGCCUAACACAUGCAAGUCGUGCGAGAAAGUUCCUUCGGGAGCGAGUAAAGCGGCGCACGGGUGAGUAACACGUAGGUAACCUGCCCCCCAGUCUGGAACAACUAGAGGAAACUCUAGCUAAUGCCGGAUGAGACCACGAUCCCUUCGGGGGUUGCGGCCAAAGAUGGCCUCUACUUGUAAGCUAUCGCUGAGGGAUGGGCCUGCGGGCCAUUAGCUUGUUGGUGAGGUAACGGCUCACCAAGGCUGUGAUGGCUAGCUGGUCUGAGAGGAUGACCAGCCACACUGGGACUGAGACACGGCCCAGACUCUACGGAGCAGCAGUGGGGAAUAUUGCGCAAUGGGCGAAAGCCUGACGCAG
rnacentral:rRNA from 1 species